rnacentral:rRNA from 1 species
AUGGCUGCUCUCAAGCACUUUCAAGGGCUGAAUUCUCAAAAUUUAUUCUUGCUCAAUAGUGCAGUGAUUGCUCUGCUGCCCAAACAUCAAGGUGUUGUCAGACCUCGGGACUUUAGGCCCAUUAGCCUUAUUCACUUCUUUGCUAAAUUGGUUGCCAAAAUCCUUGCUGCAAGACUUCAUCCUUGGUAGAACAAAUUGGCUUCCCCUUGUCAAAAUGACUUUAUUAAAGGAAGAAGCAUACAUGAUAACUUUGUAUAUGUCGAGGCAAUUGCAAAGACUUUGAGGCAGAAGAAAAUACCAUCGGUUAUGCUCAAGUUGGAUAUUUCCAAGGCCUUUGAUUCUGUCUCUUGGGAGUUUCUGUUAAAGCUUUGCAAGUUUUGGGCUUUGGGCCAAAAUGGAGAGGAUGGAUCUCAUUCCUGUUUUACUCUGCCUCAACCAGAAUUCUUGCAUACUCUAAUACCACCCAGAAAAUUCUCCAUCGAAAAGGCCUACGGCAAGGAGAUCCCCUCUCCCCUUUACUCAUUGUGCUUGUGGUGGGCAGAUUAG